UUUCCCGUGCUCCUGUGCGCGGGUCCACUUGGGACGGGUCCCUGAGUAGGUGAGAAGGUGGGUAGGAGCUUGCUUAUAGAAAAGUGGAAUCGAGUAGUCCUUGCUGGUGGAGCCGCUGCCGCCAGGGAACUCAGGGCCGGCUCCUGUUCCUUCAAGAGUGCUGGAGGCCAAACUUGAAAUACAAGUUUAAUGUUCCUCAUCGGGCAAAAGAUAAGGAUCCGAUCUCCCCCGGCCCGGUGUGCAGCAGGAGCGACCAACCCCGACCCGGGUUAAAACUCCCAGGGACUCUUCGCUGCUGCCACCUCUUGUUCUCUUCCCCGUUCCCACUCGGGGUCUCCCUCAGGGCCGGGAGGCACAGCGGUCCCUGCUUGCUGAGGGGCUGGAUGUACGCAUCCGCAGGUUCCCGCGGACUUGGGGGCGCCCGCUGAGCCCCGGCGCCCGCAGAAGACUUGUGUUUGCCUCCUGCAGCCUCAACCCGGAGGGCAGCGAGGGCCUACCACCAUGAUCACUGGUGUGUUCAGCAUGCGCUUGUGGACCCCAGUGGGCGUCCUGACCUCGCUGGCGUACUGCCUGCACCAGCGGCGGGUGGCCCUGGCCGAGCUGCAGGAGGCCGAUGGCCAGCGUCCGGUCGACCGCAGCCUGCUGAAGUUGAAAAUGGUGCAGGUCGUGUUUCGACACGGGGCUCGGAGUCCUCUCAAGCCGCUCCCGCUGGAGGAGCAGGUAGAGUGGAACCCCCAGCUAUUAGAGGUCCCACCCCAAACUCAGUUUGAUUACACAGUCACCAAUCUAGCUGGUGGUCCGAAACCAUAUUCUUCUUACGACUCUCAAUACCAUGAGACCACCCUGAAGGGGGGCAUGUUUGCUGGGCAGCUGACCAAGGUGGGCAUGCAGCAAAUGUUUGCCUUGGGAGAGAGACUGAGGAAGAACUAUGUGGAAGACAUUCCCUUUCUUUCACCAACCUUCAACCCACAGGAGGUCUUUAUUCGUUCCACUAACAUUUUUCGGAAUCUGGAGUCCACCCGUUGUUUGCUGGCUGGGCUUUUCCAGUGUCAGAAAGAAGGACCCAUCAUCAUCCACACUGAUGAAGCAGAUUCAGAAGUCUUGUAUCCCAACUACCAAAGCUGCUGGAGCCUGAGGCAGAGAACCAGAGGCCGGAGGCAGACUGCCUCUUUACAGCCAGGAAUCUCAGAGGAUUUGAAAAAGGUGAAGGACAGGAUGGGCAUUGACAGUAGUGAUAAAGUGGACUUCUUCAUCCUCCUGGACAACGUGGCUGCCGAGCAGGCACACAGCCUCCCAAGCUGCCCCAUGCUGAAGAGAUUUGCACGGAUGAUCGAACAGAGAGCUGUGGACACAUCCUUGUACAUACUGCCCAAGGAAGACAGGGAAAGUCUUCAGAUGGCAGUAGGCCCAUUCCUCCACAUCCUAGAGAGCAACCUGCUGAAAGCCAUGGACUCUGCCACUGCCCCCGACAAGAUCAGAAAGCUGUAUCUCUAUGCGGCUCAUGAUGUGACCUUCAUACCGCUCUUAAUGACCCUGGGGAUUUUUGACCACAAAUGGCCACCGUUUGCUGUUGACCUGACCAUGGAACUUUACCAGCACCUGGAAUCUAAGGAGUGGUUUGUGCAGCUCUAUUACCACGGGAAGGGAAAAUGCUACAUACUUCUGGUUAGUCCUUAACAAAUGCUAUGAGCCACACACACUCCACCACUUUCCCCUGAAGUGAACAAGUCACUACUGCAUUUUCUCCAUUCAGUCCCAAACUUCAGGAGAGGAAAGAGAGAAGAUUGGCUGGGCUUUCACAGGAAUAUGUUAAUAUGAAACAUCACCUUUCAUCACUCUUCCACUGAUUUUUUAAAAAUCUUGCAUCAGUUCUCCAUGCAGUAGCAUCCAGUCUCUCUAAAGUCUCUCUGACAUACGUAUUUUUUGCUGAGAUUGGACACUUCUGCAUAACCCCAUGGAAGCACUGAUUAUGCACCUUGCCACAAAUAUGGCCAUUUCAACAAAGACUGCCUCCUCUGUCUGUGUACUCAAGACACCAGUUUUCUUAAAGUAACUAUCAGGUCUAGCAGUCUCCAGCUACUAGGUGCAACUGUGAGGAUGCAAGCAUACUGACCUGACUCUACAUUUCCCAGCAUGGCUGGGGAGGCCAUGGUGAGGGGUGCUUUAUGGUUUGGAGGGAUCCCAGGACUCUGAAGGGGAGGUUUUGGAGAAGAGGUCCAUCCCGGUGACGGGGCAGGAAGUGAUGGAGACUUGAGGUGGACAGGUGAAGCAGCAGCAGACCCCAAAACAGGGGGGGACUUAAUGGAAGCAGCAGCAGCUGGGCCCGCCAGCAUGCCUGCCAGCUGCGAUGGAGUCUGGGGGGACUUGAGGUUCCCCGAGGGCGAGCCCAGCAUUGGUGACUGGACUUGGUGCAUCGUGGGAGACUUCAGAGGGUUAAUGCCUGGGGAAUGCACCUGGCUGCCUGCCACAGAUAUAUCCAAGGGCUUCCGCCCCAGGCCGCGCUGAACUGGAGGAGCUGUGUUGAGGCUGGUGGGGUUACUGGAAGGGUUGAGAGGUAGUGGUGGCAUAUGACUGAGCCGGCUGUUAGUCCUCUGGUCGGGCCCAAUUGGUUCUCUGAGAUUCCGCAAGCCACUGUUGCUGCCUGGACCCUGAGACAUGGGAAGGAAUGGUCUGGGGCCCAUGCCAUACUCCUGCUGGGGGUGCUCACCAAAUGGCAGUGGCACCAUCUUCUGCUGAGCAGGCAGUAUGUCUGAGCCACCUGGGCGUAAUUUCAGCAUCUCCUCAGGGCCCGCCCCAGCCUCUCUCAUCUUCUGAGGUAUCAUCUGAGAGUUGGAUCCCAUGUUGACAUUUAGAUUGACAUCUCCCUUCAUCCCACUAGGAACCAUCCCAAACUCAAGUUCCCGACCAGGGCCCAUCUGUGGGGGAAUUCCUUUUGGAAAGUCACCCCUAGAAGGACUCAGAGGGCCCUCAACUGGUAUUCGAGGGAAAAUGGGGUUAUUCCCAGGCUCCAUGUGGCGCUGGGAGCCUGGAAUCAUCCUGUUCAUCUCCAUGCUGGGCCUGAUGCCUUCCAUGGCCAUCCCUGGGGGAAGACCCAGCUGUUUCUCUGCCAGCUGCUGCUGAAACAUCUCUUCAGACAAUCCUUGGGGGUUUGGGAAGCGUUCCCCUCGGCCAGGACCGCUGAAAACGCCCUGGCCAGGAGGAAAAUUUCGACCAUCUGGGAUUUUUGGCACAUCAUCUGGCCAACUGACUCCAGAAAGACCUGGUCUAGAUGCAGGGUUGGGGACAUUCGGCCCUUCCAUUUCAGAGUUUAUCAUGCCUGCAAAUCCAGGGAGGCGCAUCUGGCUCCCUGGCAUGUUGGGGUGGGGAGCCAUGCCCCUCGGGGGCAGAGAAUGUGGCAUGUUGAUACCAUCAGAAAAUGGCUCUGUACCCCCAGGUGCCCAGCCUUCACUAGGGGUCAUCUGGUAUGGAGGGGGGGGUCCUCGGACCACUCCCCGAGGCCCGUGCUGAUGGACCAUCAUGUCCUGGAGGGAACACUGCUGGACAACCACUUGUUCCUGCUUCCUCCUCUUUUCUUCAUAAAACUCCUGCUGCAGUUUCAGCCACGCUAUCUGCUCGGGAGUCAUAUGGUCAAGGUGGUCGGGUCCUAUGGUCCCAGACUGGGAGUUCAUAGAAGGUGGAACCAUUUCAUCUGGAGAAAAGGGUACAUCUCUAUGUCCUUGAGGGCCAAAUGGAGCUCCCACGUCUGUCCGGGGCCCAGGUCCCUUACCUAGGCUUUGGGAUUGGGCCAUCAUGGCCUGUAUUGGCCCUUCUGGUUUUUUCUGAGGCCCAUCUAAUACCCCAGGAUUCUGCUGGGGUCCCCCACUUUGUGCUCCUGUGAAUUCUUUCUCAUCAGGAAAAAGCAUGCGCUGGAUAUCUCUGAGAGUUUGUAAGGAGCGCUCCCGGUGCUCCAGCUGCUCCUGAGAUAGGCCAUCGGGAUUCUCUCCCAGUGUGGGGGGCUCGCCACUGGACACUGGUGGAGGCGGAGGGGCUUUGGGAUCUGCUGAAGAGCUAUUGCUCCCCUGGGAGACAGGGGUCACUGCCCUAUUGUUGGGAGUUGAGUUGGGCCCAGUACCAUCUGGGGGCAGUGGAGUGGAGCUGGCAGGACUUCCUACAGAAGGAAUCAGUUUGUUUUCUACCCCAGGACUCUCCCGGUCCAGGGGACGUGGGGGUGCGGCAGGCUUGGGUGCUGGUGCCGGAAUGGGUGGAGUUGGCUGCAGUCUGGUAUUCUGGGAAGAAUUCUGGUCCUGGUUGGCCGGAGCUGGGGGCUGUUGUGGGAGAGGUUUCGGAUCAUUCCGAAGGGCAGAUAUCUGUGUGUUCUGAAGACAAACAAAUAGUUUAAAAAUCAUUAGUAAACUGAACAGAAGGGCAAUUAAAAGAGAAAGAUAUGUUAUAAAGGAAUUGUCCCCAGGCACAUAAAUCUAACUGACACUGGCUGUAGAAAUUGCUCACGUACAACCCUCUUUUGGGCAUGGAGACAUUUUGAUUUUUUUUUUUUUUAAACUUACUGUCAAAUGGUAUCCUCUUUCCCUUGCUGAAGAUUAGGUUUCAAUAACUUUAAAAGUAUGCCAGGGGAGAGCCACUCUGCCAAAGUGAAUACAUUUCAGUAUCUAUUUUGAGGAACAGGUUUGAUAUCACAUGUCUACUAUGUGUUUCUGAUUCAGAGAGAGAUUAGUUUCUUGGUACGUGGGAGGCUGUACCUAACACCUUUUUCUUUUCCCUGAAAGUAUAACUGGGUAUGUAGACUUCUCAUUGUCAAUCAAAAGGCCUGAUGUUGCCAUCUUGAGAGAGAAAGCGUAAGUCACUUGCAGCUCUCUAUUCUACCAGCCGAGGAAGCAGCUGCUCCAUUUCAACGUCUCCUCUGGCAGGGUGACUACUGAGGCACUCCCCUCCUGGAGUUUCCAGGAGGCCUGACAUCUCUGGUUUCUGUUUUUGGUUGGUGAUCACUGAUUCCACAUUUGAUAAGAAUUUGUACAUUAACUGUAGUGAGAUAAUCUGCAGGCAGGAAGCUUCUGUGGAGAAAUCUGAGGCUAUCUAGCUCAUGGUGUCUCUUGAACUGUUCUUUCCAACAGGCAGUAGACUGCCCUUUUUUAAUAUGCUGGAUGAUUGCCUUAUUAUUGUUUAUUAAGUACCACUGCUAUACUAAGUCCAGGGUAGAAGCACACUCACCUACAAUAGGUGACAUGGACACCUUGAAUGUUUGGAAGAGAGAUGUGUAUGUUCUGGGUCUAAACCAAGAGCACUGCUGAAAUGUAAGAGGGCACUGAUGAACAGAAGGGCUUGAUCUACAAACCCUGUCUCAGAGACCUUUCACCAAAGGCCUUUCUCCAGACCCUUUUCUCGUGUUCAUUUGCUCCUACUUGUUCGCUUAAUCCAGUCUGUAUUUCCAAACCCUUCAGGCUCUUACCUCCUCACCUACUCUCUGGAAUGUUUACCUGUGUGCAAAUAUGUAAACAAAUAAUUACGUGUAUCUCUGCAUAUGAACAAUUUGUGUUGUACACACAUGAAAACAUAUCUUUGAGCACUUAUAUUCUGUGAAUAUAUAUAUAAAUGUUGGAUUUUGAGGUAUCCAUGCACUUCUGCCUAUAGGUAUCGAGUUGUGUGGGUAAGAUCAGCUGAAUCUUGUAUGAUUCUGUACAGUUAAAAGUAUAUUUCAUAUCCACACUCCUAACUGGAGUGUAGAGGUCACCUUGAUUUUCCUUCUAGUGCCAUUUUAAGUUUGGUUUUGUUGGUCAGGUUUUGUUUGUUGUGGGUGGAUACUGAUUUCAUAUAACGAAACCAUGACGGCAGAAAACAUUUAGAUGUGGAACAAUGGAUUAUUCUCAAUUCCUUCCUUAACUCCUUUCCUGAUUUUAGUAACAGAGAAGGUGUAGGUGUAGGUAUUAAGGUGUAGGUAUUAAGAACUGCCAUUAAGUCAAUAAAAGGUUGGUUUCAGUUACACUGUACCAUAUUCAUUCCAGGACAAUAAGCAUUUUAAAUAUAAUUGUAUGCAUCUUCUACCCUUGAGUAGUCAAGAUGCAUGGGGAAUGUGAAAUUCCUUUUCUAAGUUUAGGAAGGCCUAAGCUCUGCUUAUGUCUACAAAGAUGGAGACUUUUCUGAUACACAAAAUUGGAAAGAUGUCACCUGUUUUAUCUUGAAUUGUCACUUUGAUCAUUUAUUGUCAAUUAACUUUUCCCAUGUUUAAAACUCAUCCCAGUAUUAGAUUUCAUGCUCCCUGAAAGCAGGGACUGUGUCUUGAACUUCUUAGUAUCCCCCAUAGCAUUUGGUGCAAUGGCUUGACGAUGCCAGAUACAAGAAGUAUCUUUUGGUUCAAUUUGGUAAACUACAUGCAUUAAAACAUCCACUGUAUGCCUUUUUUUUUUUUUUUUUUUUUUGAGACAGAGUCUCACUCUAUCACCCAGGCUGGAGUGCAGUAGCACAAUCUCGGCUCACUGCAAGCUCCGCCUCCCAGGUUCAGGCCAUUCUCCUGCCUCAGCCUCCCAAGUAGCUGGGACUACAGGCACCCGCCAGCAUGCCCGGCUAAUUUUUUGUAUUUUUAGUAGAGUCGGGGUUUCACUGGGUUAGCCAGGAUGGUCUCAAUCUCCUGACCUUGUGAUCCGCCUGCCUUGGCCUCCUGAAGUGCUGGGAUUACAGGCAUGAGCCACCACGCCCGGCCACUGUAUGCUUUUUCUAAUGGAGUUUAUAGCAGGUGCUUAAGAUCCAGAUAGAAAACAGACUAACAUUUAUUACAAUUUUACAAAUAUCAAGGAAUUAAAAGCAUUCAAUGGUCUUAUCACUUUGAAAUAAAUAUGAAUCACUCUGAAAGUCGAUGAGGCUCUGAUUAUGAUACUGUCAUCAUGUACUCUAGAAGUUUUAAUUGUUGCUUUUUUUCUGUUCUUUCUUUGUUAUUCAACUAGCUCAAGAGUGUUAUUUUUUAAAAACCUGCUCUGUACACAGGGUCUGAAUUUAGAUUUUCCCAGAGACGAUUACAUGAAGGAAAUCCAAAGAUAUCUGUAUAGCUCCUCUUUUAGUUUGCAUCUUCUUCCCCCUAGUAAUUCAUCAAUCUACCAGCUUUCUCGUAGAAAAGGCUAGUAUAGUAUGAUAUGCCUAAUGCCCCACAAUGCCAGAAUUAGGUUAAAUGCCAAGAACGCAACUCAUGCCAUCAAGACUACCUUCCUAUCAAUUAAAUUCACCACCUCCUUUCCUUUGCAGUCACUGUAGAAUCAUUAAACCAUUACUCAGUUUCUGAAACAACAUACCAGAGGCGCUGUGCUUCUCUCUGUCUUGUUGUUAGAAAUGUUCUGGAUGUGGAAAGAGACGAUAGUUUCAACCUGGCCCUUCAAAACAGCUUCUGCAGCUCUGCAAAGAUGGAAGAGACAGCACACACUAGAACUUGUUUCUAUUUCACUAACUGUAAUUCCAAAGCACUUUAACCACACAAUAAACUUGUAAGGGAGAGGAAGGAAUAGAAAGAACCACCAGAAAUGUUGAAGAAGAAAUCAAGACAAACAUGUUUCAUUAUUUAUAUUUACCACUUAUCAUCAAACUUCUAAAAUUAAAAGACAGCCAUUAGCAAAUCCCAAAAGAGGCAUUAAAAGACAAAAACCAAGAUUUUCUCCUGAAACCAAUCCGCCGUGGUAGGUGUUUUAUAGAGAAUCCGAGUUCAAAAUCCCAACCCAAGAAGGGGGAAGAUGAGAUCGUACAAUACCUAGUGAUAGUUUAAGGCUGUUAAGAUUCACUUUUUAUCUUAAGUGGAAAAAAAGUCAGAAAACCAUAUAUGUAGGGUAUAAUCACAAUUCUGAUAAAUAAAAAUUGAUGCAUCCAUCCACUAAAAAUUUAUAUAUAAAAAUGUUUACAGUAGUUAUCUCUGUGAAUUCCAGAGAUAUUAAUUUUUAGUUAUACUUUCUAAUUAUUCUAGAAUGGACAUUUGUUACUUGUGCUGUUUAGAAAAUAAUAAUAGGUAGGUUGCAGAAAAGUGUGUAUUGUGCAAUCAAUUUCUUCUGUUUAAAAGAGGUAUAUAUGGCCAGGCGUGGUGGCUCAUGCCUGUAAUCCCAUCAUUUUGGGAGGCUGAGGCAGGCAGAUCACCUGAGGCCAGGAGUUCAAGACCAGCCUCGCCAACAUGGUGAAACCCCAUCUCUACUAAAAAAUACAAAAAAUUAGCUGGGUGUAGUGACGGGUUCCUAUAAUCCCAGCUAAUCAAGAGGCUGAGGCAGAUGAAUUGCUUGAUCCCAGGAGGUGGAGGUUGCAGUGAGCCGAGAUCUGCCACUGCACUCCAGCCUAGGCGACAGAGACAGACACCAUCUCAAAAAAAAAAAAAAAAAGAAAAAGAGAUAUAUAUGUAUAUUUGUACAAGCACGAAAAAUUUCUGAAAGGGAAGCAAAGGAUGUAUUAUCAGUGGUUGCCUCUGGGGGAGUUUGGGUUGGGGAGGUUUUAUGUUUUAUCUGUACUGUUAACUUUAGGUGAUAAUAAAAGAUCAAUCUGCAAUGGGAAUAAGAACUUAGGUCCCCAGACAAGCCCUGCCCAACAGCAAGACACAGCCAUCAACUUACUUAUUGGCCAUCUCAGUAGAAAACACGUACACCACUUUGGCUGGAGUCUUCUGAGCAGGUGUGGGCUCUGUGGCAGUAGUUUGGCCAUGGGAGGGGGUAGAAGACCUGGGGGCUGUAGCAUUUGAUGGGGUCAUCGAGUGUGGUGUGUGCUGGGAAUCCUGGGACUUUAUGUGGUCAGCAGAAUUACAUUCUAAAAGAAUAAAAUGACUCGUCAUAGAAAGAAUAAAAUUUCCUUUCUUCUGCCAGCAUAUAUAGCAUCACAACACAAACCCACCUUGAGAAUUUCAAGGAAGUACCACCUUGCUAAGAGGAAACCUCUUCUACUUAUAAAAUUUCAAAUACUCUUCUCUCUCAAAUGACUAACCAUAAAGCAGUCUUCCCCAGCUUCCUUACCUCUCUAUUACACCUCCUUCAUAUAUUAGUGUAAAUGUCCCUUCUUCUGGUAACCUUUUUGAAACCUCCUAGACUUAACUGGGGAUGGAUCUCACAGCCCUCUAAUUUCUCUUAUUUCAGCAUUUAUCAUAUUUUACUGUAACUGUCUAAUAAUCAGCUUUCUAGGUGCAUUCAAAUCUUUGAGGACAACAGCUGUAUCUAUCUUGCUGACCAUGGCCCCCCAGCAUAGUGCUGGCACUCAUAGCAGGCCUGCCAAAAUACUUGAGGGAGGAGGGGAGGAAGGAGGGGAGAAACAAUCACCCAAGUUUCCAUUUCUAAUUUGGGUUGGAAAAUCAUACUUCCAUUCCUUGAAUACUAACUUCAUGUUCUGGCCUACAGUUAAGACUUUUGGUCUUACACUAGGAGGAAAAAGCCUAAAACCACAGCUGUUGGUCCCAUACCCUUCUUGGCUCACUGCAUUUUGGUGCCUGCCAAAUCUCUACACAUCUGGUAGCCACUCAUUCCUGCUACACUAAAAUCAGCUGUAACAAAUCUGGACUACUGCCAGGGCCAUUAAGGCUUCCUCUUGUGUCUGAAGUCUGGCAAAAUGGCAACUAGAGAACACAAGACCCAAGCCUUGGAGGAUUGCUCUGAUGGAGAAGAGAAGGGGAUACCAGAAAAACUGCCCCAGUGGGGGCCACUGGCACAGACAAACUAGAGCGACUGGCUUGAAACUAAAGUACAAACAGCAUAGAGGCCAGAAACGUGUACGAACAGGGAUAGGCCUGUGAAACAUCCUACCAUAACCCCUAAACCGUUACAUCCUUAAGGGCAAGAACUCCUCAACUAGGAGGUUCCAAACAAUUCUUCAGUUAGUAACAAAAUGAGAAGAAAUAGUUCCAUCAUAAACUGUGAGAACUCAUGAAUCUGAUACCUACUCUCCCCACUUGUCUGAUAUUAGGCUCUCUGGCCUCUGUCGAAUGUCAGAGGCCUUCCCUCAGGAACACCUACUUCCCUCUGAGUCUCAAAGAUCUUAUAGACAUACCUUUAAUGUCAGAGUCAUCGUUUGGAGUCCCAGGAUCUCUCUGAUCAAAGGAGUCGGCGGAAAUACUUCGCUCCCUUUUCCCCUUGCCCUUGGCACCAUUUCCAGCCCCAUUCUUCAGCCCCAUGCUCCCACCUGGGCCAGGGAGUGCUUUAGGGGUAUGGCCCCCACUCUUGGAGUCACAGGGGGAUGGCUGGGAUUGGCUGGCUGAGCCCCCCUGUUUACCCUGAUUGGAGAAUUUGGAAUCCAGCUGGGGGUUUCCAGAUGGGGACAUCACUGUAGGGGGACGGACCAUCACCUCCUGCUUUGACUUAGGGCUACUAAAAGAAACAAAUAACAAAGGAAGAUCAGACACCAGAUACAGCUGGUCAGCACAAAUUAGGGAGAGGCAGUUUCUAUUGGGGGUCAAGGAGACCCUUAGGACUAAAAUAACCACCCCAUGAUUCACCUCAGCCAUUUGCUUGCUCCCGCCACCCCGAUCCCAUCUCAGAGCUAUCAACAGAGAGGAGGAUCAAGCAGAGUGGCCUGCCAGGUUUCAGGAACCCUAGAGUCACAUGGGGACCCAUCUCCAGGGCUUCUGUCAAUAAAGGACAACGGUUUCUAUGUACAUAGAGAGGUGACUCUUACACUAAGACUAGCUCAGAGUAAACAAACAGGCAUCGUUAAGAUCAAAAUACUACCCACCCCCAGGCUGAUGACAAGGAACAGCUGUAGGAGAGCCUCACUUCCCUGUUGGAAAAUGCAAGCUGGUCCCAAAGAGCACGCGAGCUGGUGACUGUCAGGUUAGGGAAAUCCUCCAGGAUACUAAUCCCUCCCAACAAGCAGUAUUACACCAAAGCAGAUAAACCAACCACUGCCCUCAGGGAGUGAGGACAAAAUUCUUUUAAAGUAACAAUUUAACUACUGUGAAACCGAGGAAAAAGUAGCAUAGUGGGAGUCCGGGGAAUAACGUUUUAGUUCUACGACAUUAGGCUUCCUCACCAUUCCAGGCCUCAGUUUCCUUGUUUGCCAACUUGGGCAAACUGUACUGGUUGGUCUCUAUGGUCCUUUCGUUUGUGCUUUGGCAGGGAGGUGCGUGGAGAGGUCAGGGAAUGAUGGACAAAAGAAUAACAAAGGAAAACUCUAACAUAAGCUUUGAUUACACUGUAUCCUGCUUACUGUUAUAUUACUAUUUACUAGUCUAUUUUCUCUUCCUUUCCCAUUUGGGUUUCAUUUACUUCUAAUUCAACAUACUGUUUCACCAAUGAGUGUUCAUGGUGUGCCUAUGGCAUCCCCAAGGGGCUGCAGGAAGAGGCCCCAGCCCUUACCUCUGUGUGUUUCCUGAUGGAGAGCUCCUCACUUUAGGGUUACUGGAAUGCAUUGAUUGAAAUCCUGAGCUUGCAGUCACAAACGGGACAGGCUCACCGAGUUCCUCUCGGGUUGCAGCAGAAACAGCUGCUGGGGGCAGUGGCACUGGCCCACUGCUUGCUGGGUGCGUCCCUUAGCGCUCGCUGCCUGUAUGCCUUUUUCCUCUUUGUUUUUCUCUGCUGUGGAAGUGGGUCCUUUCCCCUUGCAGCUCCAGCAUUCUCUGGGUGCGUGCCUCCUGCUGCCAGAGGAAAAUCUCGCAUCUCCAGGGCAUAC